UCUGGGAUUCCCUUUUGGGCUCUGGAAUUCCCUUCCCAGGCUCUGGAAUUCCCUUUUUGGGCUCUGGGAUUCCCUUCCUGAGCUCUGGAAUUCCCUUCCCAGACUCUGGGGUUCCUUUUUGGGCUCUGGGCCAUCCUUGGGGCUGGGAUUCCCUUUUUCAGAGCCGGGAGCCCUCCUGGAUACUUGAAUUCCAAGCAGGAGAGGACCCCAGCACCGCUUCUCUCCAGGGGGACAUCUCAGAGCAGCUCUUGGAAUUCUGGAGGACAAAGGAGCGGGAGUUCCUCAGCAGGAUGAGUUUUUUGGGGUUUUUUUGUUCGUUUUGUUUGUUUUCCCAAGCAGCAUUUGGGUUCCCUCCGAGGGAUCCAGUUCUUGUAGCAAACCCGGGAAUUACGGAAGCUUUUUUUGAAGGUGCCUAUUGAAAUUUGCUGAAAUUACUCAGGGGAGACACCACUAGAAACUCUUGGUUUCUUCAUCAAAUAUUCCUAAAUCCAAUGACUGUCCUGAAGGAUCAGUUCCCAAGAGAGAAGGAACAAAAAAUCCCGGAAGAGGAGGAGGCUGGAAGAGGACAAGAAGGAAUUUCCUGGGGCUGGCUCUGACCUUCAGUCCUCGCCACACAGCACCCCACAGGCACGGGCUGGGGGUUUUUAUAGGAUUAUUUCUUGGCAAAACACGGAAUUCCACCAUGCACAGAGCACAACAAACCCACCUGGGCUUCUCCAGAACCAGCUCAGCCACAGAGGAACAAACACAAACUGAAGGAAAAGAUUUUUGGAUGAAGCUCCACAAACCCAACCCCAAACCUGGGGCUCCAUAAAACCAAACUUGGGAGUCCUCAAAGCCCAAAUCUGGGCUCCACAAAUCAAAUCUGGGCUUGAAUCAUAAAUCCAGCCCCAAACCCAAAGCUGAGGGUUCACAAAUCCAGACCUUGGGGUUCACAGCCCCAAAUUUUGGGGUUCCACCAACCCAAACCUGAGAGUCCAACAAACCCAACCUGGGAGUCUACAACCCCAAAUCUGGGGAAUCAUAAACCCAAACCUGAGGGUUCACCAAGCCAAGCUUUGAGGUCCACAACCCCAAAUCUGGGGGCCCAAAACCCAAACUUGGUGUUCCAUGACCCCAAAUGUGGGGUUCCACCAACCCUGAACUUGGUGGGUUCACAAAUGCAGAUCUGGGGAAUCCUAAACCCAAACCUGAGGGUUCCACCAACCCAAACCUGGAGUUCCACAAACCCAAAGUUCCACAACCCAAAAUCUUGGGGUCCACAAGUCCCCAAACUUGGGAGUCUGCAAACCAGAUCUGUGGUUCUACAAACUCCAACUCUGGGGUCUACAAACUCGAAUUUGGGAUCGACAAACUCAAACAACUUCGAGGUCUAAAAACUCAAACUUUGAGGUCUACAAACUCAGACUCUGGAGUAUACAAACCCAAAUGACUUUGAGGUCUACAGACUCAAAUGUUGAGGUCUACAAACUCAAACCCUGGGGUCUACGAACUCAAAACUUUGGGGUCUACAACCCAAAUGACUUUGAGGUCUACAAACUCAAACUUUCGGAUCUACGAACUCAAAUGUUGGAGUCUAUGAACUCAAACAACUUUGAGGUCUACAAACUCAAACUUUGGGGUCUACAAACUCAAAUUUUGGGGUCUAUGAACUCAAACUUUGGGGCCUACAAACUCAAACGACUUUGGGAUCUAUGAACUCAAAUUUUGGGGUCUACAAACAACUUUGGGAUCUACAGACUCAAGCUUUGGGGUCUACAGACUCAAGCUUUGGGGUCUACAAGCUCAACCAACUUUGAGAUCUACAGACUCAAACUUUGGGGUCUACAAACUCAAAUUUUGGGAUCUACAAACCCCAAAGUGUGGCCAGCAGGACUCCUCUGUGCCGUGCCCGAUCCGCCCGGCACCGCCACGACCUCGGUGCCACCGCGAGGGGACUCGGAGCUGCUGCCCUGACUUUAACUCCAAACCACCCAGAAUUGCUGAGCUGGGAUGGGGAAAAUUCCAUCAUCGGUGAGGGAUGAAGGAUGAAAUCCUCCUGGAUCUGUGGGAAUGUGGGAUGCCCUGAACCUCCAGUGGUUUUGGGGAGAAAACUCGGUGUCCUGAAUGCUGGGAUGGGAACAAACAACGGCUUGGACUCGGUGUUCCCUCCUGAGAGUGGAGAAAUUCCAAAGGGAUCAUGGCAAAGAGAAUUCCAUGAGGACAAAGGGAUCAUGGCAAAGAGAAUUCCACAAUGACAAAGGAAUCAUAGUAAACAGAAUUCCACAAUGACAAAGGACUCAUGGCAAACAGAAUUUCAAAAAGACAAAGGGAUUAUUGCAAACAGAAUUCCACAAGGACAAAGGGAUAAUGACAAAUAGAAUUCCACGAGGACAAAGAGAUCAUGGCAAAGAGAAUUCCAAAAGGACAAAAGAAUAAUGGCAAAGAGAAUUCGAUCAUGACAAACAGAAUUCCAUGAGUACAAAGGGAUCAUGGCAAAGAGAAUUCCACGACGACAGAGAGAUCAUGACAAACAGAAUUCCAAAAGGACAAAGGGAUUAUUGCAAACAGAAUUCCACCAGGCCAGAGGAAUCAUGGCAAACAGAAUUCCAUGAGUACAAAGGGAUUAUGGCAAAGAGAAUUCCAAAAAGACAAAGGACUCAUGGCAAACAGAAUUCCACGAGGACAAAGAGAUCAUGGCAAAGAGAAUUCCACAAGGACAAAGGAAUAAUGGCAAAGAGAGUUCCAAAAGGAGAAAGGGAUCAUGACAAACAGAAUUCCAUGAGGACAAAGGGAUUAUUGCAAACAGAAUUCCACAAUGACAAAGGGAUUAUGGCAAACAGAAUUCCACGAGGCUCAACCUGGCUGAGCCCGUGCUGGAUUUUUGACUCUCCACGAGGGAAAACAUCCCAAAAGGAAAAGCUUUCCUCCCCUCCAAGCUGUUGUUGCUCUCUCCAGCUUCACUGACACAAUUCUGAUGGAAACUCCAAAAUCUCCAGGAUGUGGGAUGGUGCUGGGAGCAGCAGCGUGGGCAGAGCAGGGAGCUGAGCUGGGACGUUCUGCUCCUGCUGCUGCGUGGGCUCAGCUUCCCACACACCCUGCAGGCCUGCAUUCCUUCCCUGCCACGAGCAUCCCACGGGGCCAGGGACAUCUCAUGGUGUUGGGGACAUCCCAUAGGGCCAGGGACAUCUCAUGGUGUGAGGGAACAUCCCAUAGGGCCAGGGACACCCCACAGUGUGAGGGACACUCCAUGGCAUCAUGGACACCUCAUAGUGACAGGGACACCUCAUGGUGUUGGGGACAUCCAUGGCAUCAGGGACAUCCCACGGUGUCUGGGUCAUGUCCAUGACAUCAGGGACACCCCAUGGUGUUGGGGACACCCCAGAGUGACAGGGACAUCUCAUGGUGUUGGGGACACCUCAUGGUGUUGGGGACACCCCACCGUGUUGGGGACAUCCCACUGUGCUGGGGACAUCCCACAGUGACAGGGACACCCCAGAGUGACGGGGACACCCCAUGGCAUUGGGGACACCCUACAGUGUUGGGGACACCCCACAGUGUUGGGGACACCCCAGAGUGGACAGGGACACCCAUGGUGCUGGGGACACCCCCAUGGUGUUGGGAACAUUCCAUGGCAUCAGGGACACCCCACAGUGACAGGGACACCCGAGUGACAGGGACAUCCCAUGGCAUUGGGAACACCCUACAGUGUUGGGGACGCUCCAUGGCAUCAGGGACACCCCACAGUGUUGGGGACACCCCACAGUGUCUGGGUCACCCCCACAGUGACAGGGACAACCCACAGUGCCAUGACAGCAGCAGCACAACGUGGCCACCAUGUGUCCCCCAGGGUCACCACGAGCGUCCCUGGCUUCCUGCUGGAAAAAUCCCAGUGAAAUUCUCCCUGGGAACGAGGAAACCCCAAAGAUUUUGGCUGUGAGGAGGAGUUGGGGGGUGACAAGGACACCAUGGGGUGUCCCCAAACCCAGGGAAAUGUCCCCUCCUUCCCUUGCAGCCCCCACUCAGCUCCCAGCCCCACCCCAAACUGGUGUGGGGAGCCCAAACUGGGAUUGAGCAACGCCAGCUCCUCAUUUCCCAACCCCCAGCGCCUCGUGUCACACGAUUUCCUUCCUCAAACAACAAAAAACAUGUCCAGAAAUCCCAAACCGAGCUCCUGAGGAGAUGAACUCCAUCCCAGCAUCAACUCCUGCACUCCCAGAGAGGAAUUAAUGUGGAAUGAAUCAUUGACACCCAGCCCCCAGCAGAGAGGAGCAGCCCCCACCUGACACUGCCAGAGCUGAAAUCCCAAACCCCCAGCUGCAAUCACGAGGAUGGAUUUGAUAAAAAAAAACCCAACAACCUUGGAAUGAUGCUGAAACAUUCCCCAAGAGCUGACAAAAUUCACACAAAGCACAGAAACACUCCAAGAUUCCAGGCCUGAGUUAUCCUGGUUUUGCACCAGCAUGGAAUGGGUCAGAUUUGCCAAAAAAAAAAGUGAAAAUUUCUAAGGAUUUUGGAUAAGUCAGAAUCCAGCUCCUGGGAGAGGAGGUUUGGAUGGAGUUUCCCCAAAAUCCAGUGGAAUUCAGCACCAAUUCCCUGAACCUGCUGCCAGAGAGG